UGUCGAUGCCGUAGUUUCUGUACUGCGCGUUGCCUCCGCUGAUUAUUAUCAUUUUCCUUUUCGUUGUAUUGCGUGUCGCGUGAAAGAAGAAAACACGGCCAAGUGUGGGCUGUAAUUGAUAGAGCGCCUCGCAUCGCGUCAGCGACUGCCCUUCUCCCUCUCUCCCUCCCGCCCUCCCUGCAGCAGGAGGCCGUGUGCGCAAGAGAAAACACAGCAGCCGUGCACGUGCCUUCGCCGGCCUGGGACAUACCCAGGCAGGCCAAGACACACUUGAGCCCACAUACACAGUUGCAGACGUAGAGGCGCAUCAAACUGUUUCCUCGCUUCUUCUUCCGUCAUCGUCGCGCUGCCAGCUGGCUGCUGCUGCUGCUCUCUCGUCUUAUCCUGCGUUGCGGGGGGUGGGGGCGCGGAUGGAGGCCAUUAUCGAGAAGACGCAGAAGGAGCUGGGGGCUGUGAUCCAGGCUCCGAGGCUCACGGACAAACUGCUGAGCCGGCCACCAUUCCGGUACAUCCACGAUAUUGUCAUGUCCUUCAUGAAGGCGACCGGCUUCCCUGACGGGCUCUUCGACGCGGAUCAACUCGACAGUGCCAAGGUGGCGGAUAAGAAGGCCAAGGUACAGUUUCUGGAGAAGCUUAUCGCCGCUGUCGAGGCUGCCACUGGCACCCCUGUCACCGCACGCCCCUCCAAGAUCGUCGCCGGCGAAGAGGCGGAGAAGACGAACGAGCUCUUCCAGCAACUUGCCCAGUGCGCCGCGCUGUCGUCGGCGCAAAAGGCGGCGGCGGUGCGGAAGGUGAGCGGCGGCGGCGAACCAGCGCCUGCAGCCGCCGCUGCCCCGGCGCCGUCGUCGAAGAAGGAGUCGGGCGAAACCAAGGCACCGCUGCAGGAGACCGAGGAGGAGCGCACGAAGCGGCGCGAGGAGGAACGCCGUCGCCGCCACGAGGAGAAGAAGCGGGAGGCGGAGAAGGCGAAGGAGAGGGCAGCGGCGGAGCCGCCAAGCCGAACCAAGGAGGAGACCACCAACCAGGCCGCCGCGACCGCUGCCUCUGGGGAGACGGAGCGGCACCGCCACCGCGAGGAACGGAAGCGCGAGUCGACAGGAGCCGUCGACACCGCGACGACGAGCGCGCGCAAAGCGCCGCCGCGCCCGAAGCCGACGCACGAAGUCAUCGAGGCGCAGAAUGCGGCGGCGGAUGCGACGCCGGCGGUCGGUGUCAUUCGCGAAGGCAAGCGUGGCAAGGCAGACACGGAGAGCGAGGACGAAGACAAGGAGGACUGGCAGAAGGUGGCGGAGCAGUACGAGGUGAAGCCGGCGGCCCGGACCGCGGCCGUGGCCGAGGACGCUGACGUUAAGGGUCUGCUUGGGCAGCAGGCGCUCAAGGCGAAGCGUGACCAGGAGGCUGUCGCCCGCCGCGCUGAGGUGGGCGGCGACGGCGCCGCUGCUGCCGCCCCUGCGGGUGGCGGCAUCAUCAUCCACAGCAGCAAGAACACCGCCUCCCGCGGUGGCGGCAGUCACGCGCUUGGCGACAGCGACCUCCACCAGCUACGCGAGCAGCUGCAGCUUCUCACCAAAGCGUCGAAUCCACUCGGCAAGUUCCUGGAGGUCAUUCACGACGACAUCGAUAGCAUGACUCGCGAGCUGGAUAUGUGGCGCAGCGAGUCCCGCAACCAGGCUCUGGCCGCCGCGGAAGCUCGUCGACAGACUGAGGAGAGCCUGCAGGAGAUCCACGCGAACCUGCAGAACUUAGAGGAUGCCAUCAGCGACCAGGUGCUCAAGACGAACAACCUGCGGCAGACUAUUCUCGCCAACGACGCCGCCAUGGAAGUAAUGGCAAAGACCAUCGUCAACCCGGACAUGGCAGCACAGUAGAAAAGGGAGGGAGGCGAUGGCACUAUCCGUGCACCCUGCCCUCGCCGGUCUCCGCCUGUGCCUGCCUCUCCCCACAUGGCUGCAGCUUGUUGCACGCACGCACGCACCUUCCACGCUGCCUUGGAUCAUGUGCGUGCGUACAUCCUAGCGUGUUUCUGAGAUUUUCCUCGCUUCAAAUGUAUAGAUUCUUUGCACAACGGCCGUGCGCGUACAGGGGGAGGGGGAGGGGCUAGACCACGUAGGGCGGCGGUGACGGUGCCCUAAUCGGUGCAGAUGUGUAUGCGCGUGCGUGUACAUGUGUUUGGUGUGUGGCGCAGGCACUGAGUGGUGCCGGAGCUUUUCUCUCCAUCCUGUACGUGGCUUUUGUGGUUGUAUGCAUGCCUCCUCCCGUCCGCCGGUCUCGGAUGACGCGCGCGCCUCCGCGUUUCGCUCUCUUUUCUUUGAGUACGACCAUGCUGAUGUGUUUCAUUCAUGUCUUGUGCUCUUCCUGCGAUGCUGUCCUCAAACACGUCUUGCCACGCUCCCAUUCGGACCACCGUGUUUUUUUUGUUUUUCUUACACCGGUUUGCCUCGCACCUGUGGGCGCGUGUGGGUGGUGCUCUUGCCACUGAGCUUUCACGCGCGUACCACCGCCUUUGCCUCGACGCACACACACACACACAGAG
rnacentral:misc_RNA from 1 species